UUAAGUCCGUACGAGCGCAACCCUGUCCUUAGUUACCAGCACGUUAUGGUGGGCGACUCUAAGGAGACUGCCGGUGACAAACCGGAGGAAGGUGGGGAUGACGUCAAGUCAUCAUGGCCCUUACGGCCUGGGCUACACACGUGCUACAAUGGUCGGUACAAAGGGUUGCCAAGCCGCGAGGUGGAGCUAAUCCCAUAAAACCGAUCGUAGUCCGGAUCGCAGUCUGCAACUCGACUGCGUGAAGUCGGAAUCGCUAGUAAUCGUGAAUCAGAAUGUCACGGUGAAUACGUUCCCGGGCCUU
rnacentral:rRNA from 1 species